rnacentral:rRNA from 1 species
UACGGAGGAUCCGAGCGUUAUCCGGAUUUAUUGGGUUUAAAGGGAGCGUAGGUGGAUUGUUAAGUCAGUUGUGAAAGUUUGCGGCUCAACCGUAAAAUUGCAGUUGAAACUGGCAGUCUUGAGUACAGUAGAGGUGGGCGGAAUUCCUAGUGUAGCGGUGAAAUGCGUAGAUAUUAGGAGGAACACCAGUGGCGAAGGCGGUCUGCUGGACUGCAACUGACACUGAGGCUCGAAAGUGUGGGUAUCAAACAGG